AACUCUUAGAUUUAAUAUUUUAAGUUCAUUUGUAAUUAUCACUGUAAUACAUUAAUGUAAUGUCAUUUCACUGUACCACAGUUGAAUUAAAUUUACAUCUUUGGCUGUUUUCUGAAUUCGUUACCAUCCAUCAAAUAUUUCAAAUGUAAUCUUACACACCAGUACCGCAAGGGAAACAGGGUGUAAGAAGAAAGAAACGCAGUCCAUAGAUGCAGCAUAACACAUCGGUUUAGAUUUGAUUCGUUGAACCAAUGCGACGUCAGUGCGUCAUAUGUUACCUCGCAAGUGAUUAUUUUGUUUCCAAAGGAUGAAGGGCGCAGGCAGAUGUGGAUACAGGCAGUGAAACGAAAAGAUUUCAAGCCUAAUGCGCACACACGCAUCUGUUCGAAGCACUUUGAAGAAAAUUGUUUCGACAAAGAAAAGAAUGGUGGGAAUUUGCUUCUCAGUGACGCUGUGCCAACAAAAUUCGAUUUCCCUGAGCAUCUUCAAGCAAAGAGACCCAAGCUUCGUAAACCUCCAACUAAGAGAGAUUCAUUAGACGAAAUUUCAUGUGCACAAACUUCCCAUAAUUCUCCCGCUAUACAAGCUUCUGAAGUAAAAGCUGGGACAAGCAAAUGUUUUAGAUAUAUAUGAGAUUUUAAGGAAGAUGAUUUGGCUAUUCCUGGCAUAGCUAGUAAAUGGCAAGUGUUGCAAAAAAGCAGCUGAAGAGAAAAUUAAGUAAUUUGCAGCGAUCAGCCCACAGGAUGAGGAAGAUAAUUUUAAAUUUGGAAUCAUUAAUAAGUGACCUUCAAAAGAAUAAUAUUAUAAGUGAAUCCAUGGGUAAUUUGCUGAAGAUGCUGCCACCAGGUACCUCAGAGUUGUUAAAGCGUGUCAGCAGAGGUCAAACAAGAGAAAAGUACCCAGCAGCUCUUCAGACCUUUGCUUUAACUUUUAAUUUCUACAGUAUUAAGGCUUACUGUUACGUAAGGAGAAAUUUCAAUACAUCUCUGCCACAUCCACGGACAUUGAGAAGGUGGUGUAGUGAGAUCGACGGAAAUCCAGGUUUCAGCAAAGAAGCAGCAUUGCUUUCAGAAUAAAGUGUCAAGAGCUUAUGAACAAGGGCAAGAAAUUGCUGUGUGCUAUGUCAUUUGACGAAAUUGCCAUAAGGAAACACAUUGAAUUUCGUCAAACUAAAUUUGUUGGAUAUGCAGAUUAUGGGGCAGAGCUUGAUGAUGAUAACCUUCCUGUUGCAAAUGAGGCACUAACAUUUUUGGUAACUGCUGUUAACAGUUCUUGGAAACUGUCAAUUGGUUACUUUCUAGUCAAUGGACAAACUGCACUAGAAAAAUCUAACCUAUUGAAUGAGGCUCUAAAGUUUACGUUUGAUGCUAGUCUUGAGGUGAUAUCAGUAACUUUUGAUGGAACACAUGCAAAUACUGCAAUGAUAGAAAAGCUAGGUUCUUCCUUUUUUUAUCUAACAUAAAAUCUUUCUUUUAGCACCCAUUGUGUAAUGAUGAAAUAUGUAUUUUCCUUGACACAUGUCACAUGUUAAAGUUAGUACGUAAUACCUUAACUGGUAAGGGUACAAUUUUUAUGGCAAUUGAAAUCCUAUCAAAUUAUGUACUCAAGUUACAUGGUUUGCAAUGUGUGGAGACACUUCAUCUUGCUACAAAAGUAAGAAUGAAGCAUGUUGAGUGGUAUCGUCAUGAUGAAUGUUAGAAUUGCAGCACAGACAUUGAGUAAUAGUGUAGCUAAUGCCCUUGAAAUUCUUGGCAAAUAUUUGCAAUUGACGAUUUCAAAGACUGUGAUCUAACAGUUAGGUUCAUAAGUAUUAUGAACAAUGUUUUUGAUAGCUUCAACAGUAGAAAUCUGUUAGCGAAAUGUUAUAAAGCACCUCUGUCCUUGCAGACUGCUAGCUACAGUUUGUCUUUUCUGGAUGAAGCUGAAGAAUAUAUAAAGAAUUUAAGACUGGAUGCAAAUGGCCCCUCUGUUUUGUUUACAAACAGAAAGACUGGUUUCCUUGGUUUUAUUGUGUCAAUUCAAAGUCUCAAAAGGUUAUACAAUUCUCUGAUAAGCAGUCCUAAUCCACAACUUAAAUUCUUACUCACACACAAGUUGUUACAAUAUCACAUCAAGACAUUUUUUAGUUCAAUCAGGAGGUAUGGUGGUGAUAACAAUAACCCUACAGCCACCCAGUUCAAAGCUGCUUACAAAAGGUUACUUAUACAUCAGCAAGUAAGGGGUUCAGAGACUGCAACUUGUUUAGACACUGAAGAGUGUUCAAAUCUGAAUGUAUCUUCAGCACUGGGUAAAGUACAAACAAACUGAUUUGUUUCAUGUAUAAAUUUCCGAGCUGAAAUUCCUUAUGUUGAAAAAGUGUCUCAUGAUCACUGUUACAGUAUCCCUUCUAUUUGUUUUAAACAACUGUCAAAGUAUGUGAGAAAUGUUGUUGUGUACAUUUCAGGAUUUAUAGUACGUAAGUUGAAGAAAACCAUAUAUUGUACUGAAUGUGCAAAUUCUUUAUAUGGCUUAUUGGAAAGCGAAAAUGAACUCCUCACGAGAAAGAAUAUGGGAGGUUUAGUAACACCUUCCAGGGAUGUUGUUCAAAUCUGUAAAGUAGCAGAACAAGCCUAUCGUUUGCAGCAGGCAAAGGGUAUGCUGACAAAAAAAUGUAACACUUGUGCUCUUGUCAUCUGCUAUGGCAGAAAUUGGCAGCAAUGUAUUUACACCUAUCAAUGAACAUAUAAUGAGCAUUGACCCCACAGAAAACCAUCAUACAACUCUUAUAAAAUCCAUUUUAUUUGAGUAUUUCAUUUCAGAAAUCACCAUUUGGGGAAGACUGUUAGAGAAACCUUUAAGAAAGGAUGUGUAAGGAGCUUUCUUACAAAAACAAUAUUAUUUAAGGGACACUAAAUGGUUCGUGUGAAGUGUUGGUCUACUUUUUUAAAAAAAAUAGAAAUUUGUUCAGUGCUGAGUUUGUUGUAAGUACUGUAUUGUGUUGCAAAAUAAAUGCUUUAUGAAAAAUU